rnacentral:rRNA from 1 species
UACAGAGGUCUCAAGCGUUGUUCGGAUUCAUUGGGCGUAAAGGGUGCGUAGGCGGCGCGGUAAGUCGGGUGUGAAAUCUCGGGGCUUAACUCCGAAACUGCAUUCGAUACUGCCGUGCUUGAGGACUGGAGAGGAGACUGGAAUUCAUGGUGUAGCAGUGAAAUGCGUAGAGAUCAUGAGGAAGACCAGUGGCGAAGGCGGCAUCCUGGACCAUAACUGACGCUGAGGCGCGAAAGCUAGGGGAGCAAACGGG